AUUGAACGCUGGCGGCAUGCCUAACACAUGCAAGUCGAACGAGACCUUCGGGUCUAGUGGCGCACGGGUGCGUAACGCGUGGGAAUCUGCCCUUGGGUUCAGAAUAACUUCGGGAAACUGAAGCUAAUACCGGAUGAUGACGUAAGUCCAAAGAUUUAUCGCCCAAGGAUGAGCCCGCGUAGGAUUAGCUAGUUGGUGAGGUAAAGGCUCACCAAGGCGACGAUCCUUAGCUGGUCUGAGAGGAUGAUCAGCCACACUGGGACUGAGACACGGCCCAGACUCCUACGGGAGGCAGCAGUGGGAAUAUUGGACAAUGGGCGAAAGCCUGAUCCAGCAAUGCCGCGUGAGUGAUGAAGGCCUUAGGGUUGUAAAGCUCUUUUACCCGGGAUGAUAAUGACAGUACCUGGAGAAUAAGCUCCGGCUAACUCCGUGCCAGCAGCCGCGGUAAAGUGACUACUG
rnacentral:rRNA from 1 species